ACAAGAGCAGCAGCGUGGGCAGGCGAGGCAUCUGGCACAGCUUGGCCAGCGCUCAGGCACUGCACAGAGCCGGCCAAGUGCAGCACAGAGCUGCAGAACAAACAUAGACCACAUCUGCAGGAUUUGGUCCCACAGAACGUGGACAUAACUACUGAAUUGUCCUAUACUAGAAUAUUUUAAGGCCUCGCAAAGAAGGCCGUAAGCUGCUAAGUAUACACUGAA
rnacentral:lncRNA from 1 species